UCCCAUGUGGUCUAGUGGUUAGGAUUUGUGGUUUUCACCCACACGGCCCGGGUUCGAUUCCCGGCAUGGGAA
rfam:Globodera pallida, Lindley, WGS project CBXT01000000 data, contig: pathogens_Gpal_scaffold_2_contig_55